rnacentral:rRNA from 1 species
ACGGGGUGCAGCAGGCGCGAAAACUUUACAAUGCACGAAAGUGUGAUAAGGGAACUCAAAGUGCUAGUACAUUGUACUGGGCUUUUUUCAAAGGUAAAAACUUUGAAGAAUAAGUGGUGGGCAAGACCGGUGCCAGCAGCCGCGGUAACACCGGCGCCGCAAGUGGCAUCCAUAUUUAUUUGGCCUAAAGCGUCCGUAGCUGGUUUGAUAAAUCUCUUGUGAAAUCGUUAAGCUCAACUUAUCGACGUGCAGGAGACACUAUCUAACUUGGAACUGGGAGGAGUCAGAGGUAUUCCUUGGGGAGCGGUAAAAUGCUAUAAUCCUUGGAAGACCACCUGUGGCGAAGGCGUCUGACUAGAACGGAUUCGACAGUGAGGGACGAAAGCCAGGGGAGCGAACCGGAUUAGAUAUCAAAAAUUCUGUGAAUUUUUGGAAUUAUUCAAAAAUCAUUAUCGUUCGUAAAACACUACUGAUAAUGACAGAAGAAUAGUUUUUUAUCAGGAAUUUUGACUAAUUACCCGAGUAGUCCUGGCCGUAAACGCUGCGAGCUAGGUGUUGCACAUUCUUCGCGGAUGUGCAGUAUCGUAGCGAAGGCGUUAAGCUCGCCGCCUGGGAAGUAUGGUCGCAAGACUGAAACUUAAAGGAAUUGGCGGGGAAGCACUACCAGGGGUGCGGCGUGCGGUUCAAUUGUAUUUUACACCGGAAAUCUCACCAGAAGCGACGGCAGAAUGAAAGUCAGAUUGAAGGUCUUACUUAACAAGCCGAGAGGUGGUGCAUGGCCGCCGUCAGCUCGUGCUGU